rnacentral:rRNA from 1 species
CCUACGGGAGGCAGCAGUAGGGAAUCUUCCACAAUGGGCGAAAGCCUGAUGCAGCAACGCCGCGUGGGUGAAGAAGGUCUUCGGAUCGUAAAACCCUGUUGUUAGAGAAGAAAGUGCGUGAGAGUAACUGUUCACGUUUCGACGGUAUCUAACCAGAAAGCCACGGCUAACUACGUGCCAGCAGCCGCGGUAAUACGUAGGUGGCAAGCGUUAUUCGGAUUUAGUGGGCGUAAAGGGAACGGAGGCGGUCGUUUAAGUCUGAUGGGAAAGCCUUCGGCUUAACCGGAGUAGUGCAUUGGAAACUGGGGGACUUGAGUGCAGAAGAGGAAAGUGGAACUCGAUGUGUAGCGGUGAAAUGCGUAGAUAUAUGGAAGAACACCGGUGGCGAAAGCGGCUUUCUGGUCUGUAACUGACGCUGAGGUUCGAAAGCGUGGGUAGCAAACAGGAUUAGAUACCCUUGUAGUC